GCCAGUUGAUGAGUCUAUAAUUAAAUCUAUCGGAUCUAUGGUGGGGAUUCACUAUCGUUUACCUGCGUUCCCAUGAUUCUCAGAUUUUUUAGAGAGUUCUUAGAAAGAACACAAAAGAAUGGAGUACUAAAAGGGGAAAAAGAGAGAGCGUGUGUUCCAUUUCAAGGUUACAGGUAUUUAUAGAGUACAUCUGAGGGGUAAAAUAGUAAUUCUACAGAGUCACACCUAUUGCGUGCUAACCGCCUACAUAGCUUGACUUGCUGCUGAAGCGCGAGCCAUCGAGUGCUUAUCUUCGCUGGACAGAACUGGCUUUAUAUCCUCUUCUCGAAUGUUCCUUCUCCGAACAUGAGUCUGCUCAGGAUCGUACUCUCUAACCCUUCGCUCUGUCAGUUCUGCCGGUAUCCCUUCGCUCUGGCCUUUCUUUCCUUGAUCUGCUCUGCUCCGCUCUGGUCUAGCCUCUGGUUGGGCUUUGCUCUUAUUCAACUUAAGACACGUGUCAUGAUCCUAGAAGUCCGCACAUUUUACCCCUCAUCAAUUCUUUUAUAAUUAACUAGCUAAUUUAAUUAAGAGUGGAUUUUGAAAAUAGCCACUUUUAUAUAGUAAAAAUAAAUUUUACCCACUAAUAUAAAAACUUUAAAAAAUACCCACAUUUACCAUUUUACCCUUACAUAUAAAAUUUUACAAAUACCCACUGUUCAGUGGUUGUAAAUUCAACUCGAAUUCACAACUAAAUUCAAGUAUUGGUUGUGAAUAACAAGUGCCAACACUAUUUCGAGUAGUGAAUUCACAACCGAUAAAACUUGAAUUCACAACCAACAUUAUUUCAAAUUGUGAAUUCACAACCAAUGAAACUUGAAUUCACAAUCAACACUAUUUCAAUUGUGAAUUCACAACCAACGCUGAUAAUUCAGUUGUGAAUUCAUAAACCUGGUUGUGAAUUCAAGAACAUUUGAACAAAAUUGCACGGUUUUCAUCAAUUUCUUCGUUGCUUAUAUAUUUUUUUGAUUACGUUCAAUUGAAUUAGGGAGAAAUUUAUCCAAUCUGCAGAAAUUCAUUCCAAUCAUUCUCAUCGGCAUCAAAAUUCAUCCUUUAAUUCAAAAUUCAUUCUAGAACAAAGCUUCAUCAAAAUUCAAACAUGAGGAGAUUUGCAGUGAUGGAGAGGAGCAGAGAUUUACGAAGAGAGAGAAAAAGAGAGAGAGAGAGAUGCGAUGCAAUUUUCAGAGAGGGAAGAGUGGGAAUAGGGCAGCGGUACCCCAGCGAAACCAGCGGCGGAGGCAUCGGACCUUCGCGGUCCAAGGUGGCGGUGGCAGAACAGAUCGAGAGAGAGAGAAGAUCUGCGAUGAGAGAGAGAGCAGCGGCGGCUGCAUCGGACCUUCGUUGGUACAAGGCGGCGUCCCCGCGGGUGAAGAGACGCGACACGGCUGCGCGCUCCUCCGUUCACGGCGCUCCAAUUUGGAAGGAUUGGAGGCGAGAGAGAGGGAGAAAAGAGGGGAGAGAGGGAGGCUCUGUAUCAAAAAAAGAGAAGAGAGAGAG
rnacentral:lncRNA from 1 species